rnacentral:rRNA from 1 species
UUGUUCCUACGGGACGCAGCAGUGGGGAAUAUUGCACAAUGGGGGGAACCCUGAUGCAGCGACGCCGCGUGAGUGAAGAAGUAUUUCGGUAUGUAAAGCUCUAUCAGCAGGGAAGAUAAUGACGGUACCUGACUAAGAAGCCCCGGCUAACUACGUGCCAGCAGCCGCGGUAAUACGUAGGGGGCAAGCGUUAUCCGGAUUUACUGGGUGUAAAGGGUGCGUAGGGGGCAGGGCAAGUCAGAUGUGAAAGCCCGGGGCCCAACCCCGGUACUGCAUUUGAAACUGUCCGGCUGGAGUGAAGGAGG